ACAAACAUUUUAUUUUUAUUUUAAAUUUCAGAUAUUAAUAAAUAAUUGAUAACAUUUUUAUACAUAAUACGUAAUCAAUUAAAAUAAAAAGGCAAUAUUUUCAGAACAAAUGCUCGAUAAGAAAUAGAAGAAAAAUAUCAAAAAGAUAUUGCUUCUUCUUCUAUCAAUCCCCACUCCUCUAUUAAUUUAAUGUUAAUUUCAGAAAAUAUUUGUGACCGCGUGCAAUGCGGUUAAUAGAAUCAGUGUUUGCUUCGUCAUAGUAUUUUGAAUAUUUUUUAGAGCACGAUAGCUCUGAUUAAAUGUAAUUAGAAUAAUCAAACGCGAAGGUAGAAUCAGUGUUUGUUCGCCGACUAUAAUUUAUACGGACGCGUUAUUAGUUUCUUAUUUUUAUUUUUUUUAAUUUUAAAUAUUCGUUUUCGGUACAGAGUAGAAUCAGUGCUUCACUCAAGAGAAUAAGGCGAUCAUCCACCACGCGAAGAGAUGCUGAUGAUAUUUAUGAAGAUUUUUCUGGGACUUUAAAAAAUAUUUGUGAUCACGCGCAAUGUGGUUAAUAGAAUCAGUGUUUGCUUCGCCAUAGUAUUUUGAAUAUUUUUUAGAGCACAAUAGCUCUGAUUAAAUUUAAUUAGAAUAAUCAAACGCGAAGGUAGAAUCAGUGUUUGUUCGCCGACUAUAAUUUAUACGGACGCGUUAUUAGUUUCUUAUUUUUUAUUUUUUAUUUUAUUUUAAAUAUUCGUUUUCGGUACAGAGUAGAAUCAGUGCUUCACUCAAGAGAAUAAGGCGAUCAUCCACCACGCGAAGAGAUGCUGAUGAUCUUUAUGAAGAUUUUUCUGGGACUUUAAAAAAUAUUUGUAAUCACGCGCAAUGUGGUUAAUAGAAUCAGUGUUUGCUUCGUCAUAGUAUUUUGAAUAUUUUUUAGAGCACGAUAGCUCUGAUUAAAUGUAAUUAGAAUAAUCAAACGCGAAGGUAGAAUCAGUGUUUGUUCGCCGAUUAUAAUUUAUACGGACGCGUUAUUAGUUUCUUAUUUUUUAUUUUUUAUUUUAUUUUAAAUAUUCGUUUUCGGUACAGAGUAGAAUCAGUGCUCCUCUCAAGAGAAUAAGGCGAUCAUCCAUCACGCGAAGAGAUUUUAUUUUC
rnacentral:lncRNA from 1 species